CACAGGGACUACAGGUGGAUACACAAUAGGUGGUGUCACAAUUGGUGGUGUUGGUACUACAGGUGGAUAAACAAUGGGUGGUUUUGGCACAUAAGGUGGUGUAACUGGCACAACUGGUGGUUUUGGGAUAUAUGGUGGUCUAACUGGGACAACAGGUGGUUUUGGGACAUAAGGAGGGUUCACAAUUGGUGGUUUUGGAACAUAUGGUGGUGUAACUGGCACAACUGGUGGUUUUGGGACAUAGGGAGGGUUCACAACUGGUGGCUUCGGGACAUAGGGUGGUUUAACAACUGGUGGUUUUGGGACAUAAGGUGGAUGUGGAUGCAGUGGAGGCUUAGGGUGAGGUUUUGGGACAUGGGGUGGAUGUGGAUGAACUGGUGGUUUAGGGUAGUGAGGAGGUUUUGGGACAUAGGGUGGGUGUACAUGGGGUGGUUUUGGAGAUGACUUGGGUGGUGGACAUGGUUUUGGUUGUUUGUGAACUGGUGGUUUCACAAUGGGAGGCUUUUUUGGAGGAGGCUUGGGAG
rnacentral:lncRNA from 1 species